UGUAAAUUCUCUUUGACGUAUUGAUUUAUUCAAUGAAAUUCAGAAAAUAUGUGUUUAAUUUUAUAGUUUGGUAGUGUGUGUUACUUGUAAGCUUUGUUAUAUUACAUGUACCACUCCUUUAAAUGUGUAUAUUAUUUAAUAAUAACGUAUGUAUUGUGUAUAUGACAGGUUAUUACAUACGUAUGAGCAAUGUGAUAUAAAGAAUAUAAUAUAAAAUUUACAUUUGUUUUACUGAAAACUAUGUCACGCUACUAAUACUACUAAUAUAUUCUUCAUUAUAAACCAUUUAAUUCUACCUUAUGUUUUUAUUUAUAACUAUUUGAAAAACAUAGCUAGACGCAGCUGCAUGAUCACGCGAUGUAUAUAAAAGUAUUUUCUAAGGGAUGCUUGCACGAGAACGUGUCCAUUCGAAGAAGAAACACCGUUUACUUUCUGCGAGUCCUUGCUGAUUAUGUAAACGACGCUUUAGAAUGCAUUCCAUCCAAAUGUUCGACAUUCCUGUGGAAACUGCACCUUUCAAAUGUUGCGUGCGCCACUGCGUACAAUCCUUACAAUCUUUCAGAUCCUUUUUUAAUAUAUCGUCCUUUUAAACGAUCAUCGUUGUCUGCAAGAAAUUGGCAUUUUCAGGCUCCCCUGAUGUUUCUUUCUGUGAAAAGGAAAUGGAAUCCACGUGAAAUUACGUAAAAAGUAGAAUGCAAUUGAAUGAAAGUUUCAAAAAUUGAACAAUUUAACCCUAAAUUACUGCGGUUCCCAUGGUGUAAGGGGCAAGAGGAACCAGAGCGCUGGGAAACAUAAAAGAAAAGUUUCAUCUUUAAGGGAACUUUGGAGAGGAAUAAAGAUUGACAGAAAUUGUAAUUUAGAGUUGAAGAGGAAUUCUGGAUUUUUGAUCGUUCGUUUUAUCGGUAAAUUUAAUUUUGUUAACGUUCGAGACUCUGGGAGGAAGUAAAACUUGACAGGAGCUAUGAUUUAUAGUCAGAAGAAAUAUUUAUUCGAGAUAUAAUUGAUAGAUUUAGUUAAAAUUUAUUGAGAUUUCAUUUAAGAGAUUCAAACACUCUAUAGUAAGGUUUAGCGAACUAAUUGGAGAAUAUUUAAAAGAGGAGAAAUUUUCUUACUUAAUUUAAUAAAUUUGUUAAUUCGUAAAACAUUAUAGUUUUUAAAAGGGAACCUAAAAGAGUGUAAAAUAAUUUUACAAAGAUUUCUGAUUUUUCCAAUAUCGUACAUAAUAUAAUAUUUGCGUGGAAACGAUUUAAACGAUACGUCAUUUUGCAGAAAGAGGCAGAAGGAAAUAAAGUUCUCUUAAGCGUGUUACGAACGUGAAUUUGAUAUUUUUCCUUUGACUUCUGAUUCCAGACUAUUACCCGCUUUUAUAACGUGUACAUUAAUGGUUAAUGAGGGACUUGAUAUCUCGCUGCUUCUAUUUCUUUCCAUCUACGAAAUAAUAUAUCGUCCAUCUAAAGUUUUGAUCAGAAGUUACUUUCAGCUGCUGUUUGACGUUUUAUUCUGACACGACAAUGAAUUUUCAAGUUUUAGAAAAGAGGAAGAAAAAUUCGACAUUUCAGCUGUAUGUGUGUGUGUGUGUGUGUGUGUAUGUAUUAUUUUUAGAGUAACAUCAGCAUUUUUCGAUUUCUGGAUAAAAAACAUUUCUAUACGUGAACAAUGACAACGUGAACUACUUCCCAGUAUUUAAUUAACAUUCAAAAGAAUGAAUCUAUUAAAACAAAAACAGAACAUCAUAUCACUAUCUUGUACCUUUCUGAGGAAAAUAAUUUAUGCACACUGCUUGCCACGAGUAUUAGAGCAUCUACUAGUCGUACACACUUGCUGAGAAACUACAAUAAAUUGUAUUUUAUUUAGUAUUUUACAUUUUACACCGCGCAUGAUGCGUUUAAAAUAAUUAGGAAAUAAAAUCAGAGAAAACCAUACUAUAUAUACCAAAUAUCAUAGCGUAUUGUAAUGCUCAUAAUCGAUAGUGUACGCACUCGUGUAUCGCCACUGAAUAUCGAAAGAUUUAUACUGGUGAUAAUAUUCUAUAGAUCUAGGAAUAUUUAUUCACAAUGAUAUCCACUGUGUCUUUUAAAAUUAUCCUGAAAUUGAAGAAAAACUAACUAACAUACGCGCGUAUACGUCAAUAUACCUCAAGAGGUUCAGGUUAAAAGAAUUCGAUAAAAUCAUGAAAAUGUAUGCUUUGUUACGAUAUUGGAACUUCAACGUUUUACUAUAUGAUAUUUCAAUUUCCAGAACGUCAAGAGGAAAGAACGAAGAAUUUAAUUAAAAAUAUUAUCCAUGUAAUAUACCGUAGAAUAUUAUCUAUAUCGAAUAUUCAAUAUCAAAUAUUUUGGAAAAAUUGUUAACUCUGCUUGAUCGAUGGACGAAACUCGAUGGGAUGGAUCUAAGGGUAGAUUAGUAGUAGAGGUUCGUUCUACCGGAAGUUAUUAUUUGCAAGGCGUCGCGAGAUCUCAAUGAUCCCCCCUGGAGAUGAAAGUUUGCUGGAUUUUCGAAAGACUAACGGGAGAGGUGUGUUCCGCCCGAGUAUUCCUCGAUUUUCGAAAAGUUUUCAGCGCGGUGCUGCGUGGAAAUUCGCCAGCUUGCUGUCUGCAUCGAGGACAAACCUGAAACAGCUCGAAAUCGUGGCGAAAUCAUUCCAACGAAUUGCUGGAUCGUUAACAUAAACGCUGUGUGUCUUUGAACGAAAUCGCGCAAGUUUGUUUCCUCGUGACUCGACGUCUGAUCAGCGCCUGACCUUAUCUACUUAACUUUAUACUAAGUAGCUACUUGCAAUUGAACGAAAACUGGAAUUGUAAGCUUAGCCGAAAGUGAAGAGUUGUUUGACUGUAUUUCUUACAAAAAUAAAGCAAAUACAGUACUUGUGUCUAUUCAGAGGAUUUUCUUAUAAAUUUAAUUAAGCUAAACAAAACAUUUACGACUAGUAAAAUGUUUGAAUAUGAAGGCAGACUAUCCCUAAUUGAAGUGAAACUAGAAUUCUGACAGUGAUGAAUUGACCGAUUGUACUUUUUAUAAAAGUAAAGCAAAUAGAAUACUUGAAUUUAUCUAGAGGAUUUUCUUACGAAUUUGAUUAAGCUAUAUUUUGGAUAUUUGAAUAUUCAAUAAGAGGGGAACAAAUUAUUUUUUAAAUGAAAUGCUAGAUUAUUCUGCAAUAGGAUUUUCUGACAGUAAACAAGAUUUCUGUUUAGUUACUUCAUAAAUGAUUUGAUGUAUUUGAAUAUGCAAAGUUCGAAUGUGGCAGAUCAAUCGAUCACGGUAAUCAGAUUGAAGGGAAAGCUGUUUGGAAUAGGAAUUUGCGAAGAACAAAAUGUUUCUAAAGCCGUAAGUAUAUUUUCUUUCUAUCGAGUCGAGAUUCUCAAGCUGAACUUUCAACAUUCUUCUUUGGAAAUUCCCCGUUUCGACAUGCUUGGUUUAGAUCAAAAUAACAGGUAUAAAAUAUUCAAUUUUAAAAUAUUCUAUUAUUCGAGUUACUAUUGUUAAUAUUAUGGAAUAAUUUUAUUAACAUUAUAUGAUUUAUUGCAGUAUUAUAGAAUAAUUUAAUGUUCAAGUUUCAAAUGCUUCAUUAUGUUAGCCACCAUUAUUGAUGUUAUGGAAUGUUUUAAUAUUCAGACGUUGUUCAUAAUAUUUAAUACUCUGCAUCCUGAAUGUUAUUGGUUCCAAAAAUAUGAAAUAUUCUAUUAUUUAGUAAUUAUUUAAUAUUAUUUGGUAAGUAGAUAAAACAAUAUUCUACCGAAGUUUAAUCAUGUCUUCUAUCAUUAUAUGAACUUGUAUAAAAAUUUGCAGACCAAUCAUUAUUAUAAUAUUACAAUAUCGUAGGAUACUUUAAUAUUUCUUUAAUAUCUCAUUCCAAAACUAGUUGAAAAAUCGUGAAGUAUCGUUCGAUACAAUUACAUCUCUGUAUCGUGGAUAUUGUUGACUCCAAGGGUAUGAAAUGGAAUAGUAGUUAGUUAUCCAGGGGCGACUUUUCUUCCCUCGGACAAAUAAAAAUCUAUAUCAGAGUGUAAAAAAGAGAGAAGGAAGAAAGCAGAAAGUUUGUUGGACUAACAUUUCUCCCAGUGAGAAGAAAGUUGAGAACGUCGUCGAAGAUCACAAAGGGACGAACAUUAAGGGGUUGAUUUAUGGGGAGCAGCGAAAAACUCACGGUCCAAUGCGCCCUGAUAAACAUUAUCCACGUUUCUCUUCGAUUCUUUCUUCUCCUUUUUCUUCGAUUUCUUCUUCGUCUGCAACCUCUUCCUCUGAGGAUUCAAUUUGUAGUUUAACAAAUUUCAAAAUUUCCUGAUUAAUUUCGAGGGAGUGAUGAUACCAGGCUAACGUGGAUAUAAUUGAAGUUUCGAAACAUUAAGUUUAUUAUGCGGGGAAUAUUAAACGACGUGCCAAAAUAACCGAUUUAUGAAGAAUGAUUAUUAAAAAGAAAAAAAGAAAAAAAACACUGUAAAUGCAGAAACAAAUUUUUCAGGAGGAAAAGGAAACUUCUGCAUUAAUGUAGCCUAAAUUUAGGAAAAAAAUUGUACCCGUAGAAAAUCCUGUAUGUGCCAUUUCUUAGUUGUAAAGAACAGUCCAUGAUCCAUUCAUUUAGAUAGAUGCCAUUCAUUUAAAAAUAUACAAAAGCCAAGAAACAAUUAACCAAUGUUUGUUCGUACUUACAUUUUCCUCUAUAGAGGCAACGUUGUGAUAGUUUUGCAAAUUGUAUUUAAAUUCUAUGCUACGGUAUUCUAAUUCAUACAUAGAACAUUUUCCAAUGAAAAAAGAUCAAAAUUUUUCAAUUUUGGCACUUACAAUCUUUUCUACAAGCACUGUUCAAUUCUUCACAGAAAUUUUAUAGAUUUAUACUCCUUGCCAUCUUUCUAUUCAAUAUUUUCCUGUACCAUUAUCUAUUAAUAAUGAUUAUAUAUUAUAUAUAUAUAUAAUUAUAUAUUUAACAACUUCUUCUUAAUUAUUAACGUAACUGUUAUUUAUUAACAUAUCCUACACGUCGUAACCAAUAUCACUAUACAAUUAUUCUUCAUGUAUCUUCAAUUUUAAUCUCUUUUUACCAGAGUUUUCACACUUUAGAUCGUCGAUGAUUCAUAGUCCCGAAAAAAGAUUCCAAUUGCAAAAAAUUGGAAUGGAAUGAAAAUUAAUUUGGAAAUACAACAAUAAUAAUAUAACGAUAUAACCGUGUACUUUUAGAAGAACAGAAAGCGAGAUUUAUUCAUCGAAUAAAUAUUAUAUUUCAAUAUUAUAUUUGAGUAUUUCUGUCUUUAUCAGAAGAACGAUCAGAGAAUCGUCGAGCUGAACGAUAUAGAGAUAUCUACAUUCGUCUAGAUGGGAAGUUCGAGCUGUCAGGAAACAGACGUUCUGGCCAGGACGUUUAACGUCAUAGGCAAAGCCGAGAUUGCGUAAUUAACAGGAUAUAUCCUUCCCAAUCCAGCCCUAUGUCGGUGGCAAGGGGUUCCACGUCUUGCAAAGGGGGAUUGAGAUCGUGUUACGGUCCUGUCGGUUACAGGAACCACUUGCUAAAGCCGCCUAAGACGACUACCAAGAUUGAUUGGAAUCCCGAGUUCCACACGAGCUCCUUUGGCCACAGAAUCGAUUGUUUUUGAAUUGUAAUCCCUUUGAUACCCUGCCAGUGCAGUUGCUGCAGAUUUGAUAAGGUGGCUUCCAAGUUAAACGAAAGAAACUGGUACAAACGACCAAUUAUCAUACGUAACGUUUUAUAUAUCAGUCGCCUGUAACUGGAGUUUUCUUUGCCUACGACGACAUGAAAUUAUGAUACAAAUUAUGGUUUACUCUUAUUGAUUGUAACCUGAGGAAUAGUAAUUGUAACGAAUAGGUUGAUCGCAUGAGAUAUAAAAACAUGACGAUAAGGUAUGUGUGUUAAUUAAGUACACGAAAUGGUAUUUGACAAAUAUUGUGGAUAUAUGCAAUACUUACAUAUGAACGUACGAAUAUUAAUGUCGAAUAUCCAAAAAAUAAACGGAUGACUUAAUUUCACAAGCUCCUUUUUCGCGAGGACACAGCGAGUUCCAAGAUGAGUUUACAACUCUAGCUGUAAGCGAAUAUUUUCCAAUCUGCGGACGUAGACGAAUACAGACAGAUUCUUGAUGAUUCAGUUAAUGCUAAGGAUCGCAUUAAAUAUUACGUAUAUCGGGGUUUAUUAAUAUAACGAACAACUGAUCGUCAAAAUAUUCUUUCAACAUUUAGAAAACGCACGUUCAAAGUAAAUGUCUUGUAACUUCCAUGAACGUAAACGUUUUUAAAUAUAUAGUUAUGAUCAUCGUUAUGAUUAUUAUUAUAAUUAUCGCGUUUCAUUGCAAUUAGAACGAAGUUUCAACGAGUUUUGUAUGAGAUAAAUAAAAUAUGCAUAAAAGCUUUCUAUAAAAAUAUGUUCAAAUACUUUCGUCGGCCACUCUACGUAAUUAUAAAGUUGAAACGAACAGAGAAUAGCGAAUUUCUAUAUUAAACGCGCCAUUAAAUUCUGUUACCUAAUUCUUUGAAGGUCCGCAGGCUCCUUCAAAUAUUUUCCAACUCUGUCCAAAUAUUUUCAGACCCCACAACAGCGUCGUUUCUGCGUUUUACCAUUGAACGGAGUAAAACUUCCGACACGAUUAUCUAAUAAUCCGUUCUCGUAAAUGCAUCUUGAUUAAAAGCACGGACAGCGUAAGAAAUGGAAAGUUUCGAAUGGAUGCAGUUCUAUUCGCGCGGUUUUAUUGAUCUUCCGCGAAAAUUCGCCGUUUACCUUUGCACGUGAAGGCGGAAACUUCGUUCGUGGAAGGCGAACUUUCGUAGGAAUAAGGGUAGCAGCAUUGUGAGUAAAGUGCCAGCUUCCGAGAACUUACACGAGUCGACCUGUAUCGCCACGUGGAACGAUCUCGACGAGAACACUGGCAGAAAAAUAUUAUUUCCAACGAAGAUCAUCGUCGUAAAGAAAGUUCCAUCGGAGAUAUCUUCAUGGAUGGGUUGAUUCACGCCAUAGAAAUCGACACAAGUGACAUUAUCUUUUUAUUGUACUUGGACUUUGGUCGAUUAUGAUUUACAAGUUUUCUUCGUUCUUCAUGAAAAAUCGAUAGCAUGACCAUUGAGAAAAUGAUCUUUGUAUCUUUUGCUACUUGAAGAUUGGUCUAUCGCGAUUCACAAGCCUUUUUCGUUGUUAACGGACAAUCGAAGAUGUGAUUAAAUUAUUAUACUUAAAGAAUAAAAGGGUUAAACAUGAGUAAGGCGAUAAAAUAAAUAAUCGUUGAGAAAAUGAUAAUUCGAUGAGCAAACGGUGUUCUUCAAAUUUUUAACUUCUGCAAACAAUGAAGAAAAAUGAAGUAAAUGUGAUUCCUAGAUCGCGGAUAUUUAUGCAAAUUCAUAUUUUUAUGUAGAUAGUUAAAAAAAAAAAAAGAAACCUAGUUAGAAAAUUGUUUCAACUGGUGUAUAUUGUAUGUAUACGUCGAGGUAAGCGGAAUCAUUUAACAAAUUACACUUUGCAGCUCAAUUUUUAAUUAUUUUCAUGAAUUUUAAUUAUUUUACUUACUUUUUUAAUCUUUAGAUUAUUUUGCACAGAUUACUUAUCAUUUUAGAUUAUUUCCACAAUUUUUUAGAUCAACCAGGUUAUUAAGAAUCCCUUGUACGAAUUUCCUCCAAUUGGGAACGUCGCUUCCCAUCUUUCUGACAACUUCCACAAGCGUUUCGUUUCGUGCCAUCACCUUAACAUCAUGCCACUCGUUCCGCAAACUAUUUUUGCGGCUUAGUUUAUAUCAGUCACACUGUCCAGUAUCUUUUGUCCUUGAAAAUCUCUCUGGAAAUAUUCGUGAACGUUUUACGUUCCUUCGUCGUCGAUGAAGAAGAAAUUGAAACCGAUCGGUCGAUGAGUUUUGUGAAAAGAGGGACUGAAAAUUCGAUGGAGAGUCGUGCCAUGGUGUGGCACGAAAACAAAACGUUUCAGAGAACCUGGUUAAUAAUGGAAUGGAGGCUGCCAGGCCGGAUAGCCUGGGAACUCUUAAAUUCUGGCUCACGACGUAAUUAAAAGACCUCCUGAAUCUUUCAGAUUCGCUUAAUGAAACUCCGGGAAAAAUUGAUUUUUACCCGGUUGCUUUGUUUUCCUUUCAUUACCGGUGUCUCUUUCCCGAACCAUGGAAUAUCGGUUAAUGCACUUUAAUCUGAAAUCCAAUAAUUCGAAUACUGCUAAUACGUAGAAAAUCGCCGAGUUAACGGAAAAAUGAUCAGGCAUUUCUUCCUUUUAUUCUCAACGAUCUUUCGUAUCUAUCAUAGUAAAAAUUGUAAUAGCGUAAGUACGCUGUUAUUGAAAAAUUUAUAUAGACACUUUGGCUGAUUUGUAGCAGCAAUAUAUGAACAUUAAUAAGAUAUAUAAUGUAUGAAUAUACAAAUUGAUUACAUAAAUAUAUAAAAGAUAGAAAUUGAGCAAUCGAUAGAUGGAAACACUACUUGUUAAAUUUAAAUUUAAAUGAUUCAAAUUAACGUAUCUCGUUGAAGUUCUGUAGAUAUCAAGCUUCGUUAAGAUUUUUCUACAUAUCGCCGGUUCAAUUGUAAACUUGAAAGAUUAAUGACUAUAAUUUAUUCAUAAAUGUGGAACAAGUAUCUUCUUUAUUAUGUCUGUACCUUAGAGAACCAGAUAGUCUGGCAAUGAAGAAACUUCACAGAAUUUUAUUAUAAAUUUUGUUGGAAAAUUGUUCCGUAAUUUGUUUAACUUUCACAAAUGGCAGUAUUUCAACGGUUAAAAUCAAUUUUAUUGCGUUAUAGUAUAAUAAUAAAAUAAGUAAUAAUACAUCAUUUUACCAACAGAUAAUUCUUACUUAUGAUUCUGUUGUUAGAUUGCUAAUAAACAUAGGCAAGUGUCCAGGUACUUUUAGUAGUAUACUUAAAGGAAAGUACUUAAAUUUAUAAUAUCUUCUUGCCGAGAAUUCUCUACUUCUUCUAAACGUGAUGAAGAGCAAGGAAGUCAUAGUUUGAUCGGUAACGUUGUUAAACCGGCAAGUUCAACAUGAUAUUUAAGGUCCUGGACAGAAGUUUCGGAACAUUCCAGGACAUUACAAUAUUAAAUUGUGCAUAAUUAAUAUCGGGAAACUUUUUAUAUUUAUCUUAGUUUGUUCAAGACGAAGUUUAAUCUACGGAAUUACCAAAGGUGGGUAGAAAUGAAAUUGUAUCAAGCACAUAUUUUGUUAAUAGACUGCGGAUUUUUAUGCAUUUAUGGAAUAUUUACAUUACAGAAAGCAAUAUGUAAUAAAAAUAUAUAAAAUACCUGAAGCACAUUUAGGUUCCAUUCAUUAUCCGUAUUCAGAAAAAUAUGAAUUUCCAUAAAAAUUCGAAUGAAAGAUUUUCAGUGUUUACAGCAAUGAGAGAAGAAUUGCAAGUUUACAAAUGGUCCAAUGACAUUUAGAUAAAAUUGUAAUAAUUACAUCAAAUUGUUCGUUAAAAUUCUUUCAAUGAAAGCUAUGUAGAAGGUCCACAGUACGAAUUGCCACUUGAAAUGAAGGAAGGAAGUAACGAGGAGGGGAUUUCGAUGGUUCUCAGGACUGACGCUAAUGAAAAUACAUCGAGGGUUAGUU